CUUGUCUCAAAGAUUAAGCCAUGCAUGUCUAAGUUCACACUAUCUCACGGUGAAACCGCGAAUGGCUCAUUAAAUCAGUCGAGGUUCCUUAGAUGACACGAUCCUACUUGGAUAACUGUGGCAAUUCUAGAGCUAAUACAUGCUUACCAAGCUCCGACCCUCGUGGAAAGAGCGCCUUUAUUAGUUCAAAACCAAUCGCCGUUACCCGCAAGGGUGCGGCGUCCCCACUGGUGACUCUGGAUAACUUUGUGCUGAUCGCAUGGCCUUUUGCGCCGGCGACGCAUCUUUCAAAUGUCUGCCCUAUCAAAUGUCGAUGGUACGUGACAUGCCUACCAUGUUUGUAACGGGUAACGGGGAAUCAGGGUUCGAUUCCGGAGAGGGAGCAUGAGAAACGGCUACCACAUCCAAGGAAGGCAGCAGGCGCGCAACUUACCCACUCCCGGCACGGGGAGGUAGUGACGAAAAAUAACAAUACGGGACUCUUUCGAGGCCCCGUAAUUGGAAUGAGUACACUUUAAACCCUUUAACGAGGAUCUAUUGGAGGGCAAGUCUGGUGCCAGCAGCCGCGGUAAUUCCAGCUCCAAUAGCGUAUAUUAAAGUUGUUGCAGUUAAAAAGCUCGUAGUUGGAUCUCAGGCGCAGGCGGGUGGUCCGGCUCGCGCCGGCUCACUGCCCGUAUCUCCUGCCCUACCCGUCUGUCGGCUCUCUCCCGUGGGUGCUCUUCACUGAGCGUCCCGGGUGGCCGGCGCGUUUACUUUGAAAAAAUUAGAGUGUUCAAAGCAGGCCUCGGCUGCCUGAAUAAUGGUGCAUGGAAUAAUGGAAUAGGACCUCGGUUCUAUUUUGUUGGUUUUCGGAACUGGAGGUAAUGAUUAACAGGGACAAACGGGGGCAUUCGUAUUGCGGCGUUAGAGGUGAAAUUCUUGGAUCGCCGCAAGACGAGCUACUGCGAAAGCAUUUGUCAAGAAUGUUUUCAUUAAUCAAGAACGAAAGUCAGAGGCGCGAAGACGAUCAGAUACCGUCGUAGUUCUGACCAUAAACGAUGCCACCUAGCGAUCCGCAGGAGUUGCUUCGAUGACUCUGCGGGCAGCUUCCGGGAAACCAAAGUUUUUGGGUUCCGGGGGAAGUAUGGUUGCAAAGCUGAAACUUAAAGGAAUUGACGGAAGGGCACCACCAGGAGUGGAGCCUGCGGCUUAAUUUGACUCAACACGGGAAAACUCACCCGGUCCGGACACUGUAAGGAUUGACAGAUUGAUAGCUCUUUCUUGAUUCGGUGGGUGGUGGUGCAUGGCCGUUCUUAGUUGGUGGAGCGAUUUGUCUGGUUAAUUCCGAUAACGAACGAGACUCUAGCCUAUUAAAUAGUUCGCCGGUCCCCUGAUGCGCCGGCGCAACUUCUUAGAGGGACGAGUGGCGUUUAGCC
rnacentral:rRNA from 1 species